AGAGUUUGAUCCUGGCUCAGGAUGAACGCUGGCGGCGUGCCUAACACAUGCAAGUCGAGCGAAGCGCAUAAAAUGGAUUCUUCGGAUGAAGCUUUAUGUGACUGAGCGGCGGACGGGUGAGUAACGCGUGGGCAACCUGCCUUACACAGGGGGAUAACAGUUAGAAAUGACUGCUAAUACCGCAUAAGACCGCAGGACUGCAUGGUCCGGUGGUAAAACUCCGGUGGUGUAAGAUGGACCCGCGUCUGAUUAGCUUGUUGGCGGGGUAGGGGCCCACCAAGGCGACGAUUAGUAGCCGGCCUGAGAGGGUGGACGGCCACAUUGGGACUGAGACACGGCCCAAACUCCUACGGGAGGCAGCAGUGGGGGAUAUUGGACAAUGGGGGAAACCCUGAUCCAGCGACGCCGCGUGAGUGAAGAAGUAUUUCGGUAUGUAAAGCUCUGUCAGCAGGGAAGAAAGAAAUGACGGUACCUGACCAAGAAGCCCCGGCUAACUACGUGCCAGCAGCCGCGGUAAUACGUAGGGGGCAAGCGUUAUCCGGAAUUACUGGGUGUAAAGGGAGCGUAGACGGUGAUGCAAGUCUGGAGUGAAAGGCGGGGGCCCAACCCCCGGACUGCUCUGGAAACUGUGUGACUUGAGUGCAGGAGAGGUAAGCGGAAUUCCUAGUGUAGCGGUGAAAUGCGUAGAUAUUAGGAGGAACACCAGUGGCGAAGGCGGCUUACUGGACUGUAACUGACGUUGAGGCUCGAAAGCGUGGGGAGCAAACAGGAUUAGAUACCCUGGUAGUCCACGCCGUAAACGAUGAUUACUAGGUG
rnacentral:rRNA from 1 species